CACGUAGGGCGCAAGCGGUUGUCCGGAAUUAUUGGGCGUAAAGAGCUCGUAGGUGGUUGUUACGUCUGCUGUGAAAACCUAGGGCUUAACCCUGGGCUUGCAGGUGGAUACGGGCAGACUAGACGGUAGGUAGGGGAGAAUGGGAAUUCCUGGUGUAGCGGUGAAAUGCGUAGAUAUCGGGAGGAACACCUGUGGCGAAAGCGGCUCACUGGACCUAACUGACGCUGAUGCACGAAAGCUAGGGGAGCAAACAGG
rnacentral:rRNA from 1 species